rnacentral:lncRNA from 1 species
UAUCUAAAUACAAAUUCUAAAAUAUUGAAUUCAAAUACAGUUUCUGUUGGCACUGAAAUCGCUCCAUAACCAGGGCUGUUCUUCUGAUACCUCACUGCUACAUUUUCCCCCUUCACUACCACAACGGGAAGGCUAAUUCACUACCACAACUGGAAGGCUAAUUCACUACCACAACAGGAAGGCUAAUUCACUAUCACAACUGGAAGGCUAAUUCACUAACACAACGGGAAGGCUAAUUCACUAACACAACUGGAAGGCUAAUUCACUACCACAACGGGAAGGCUAAUUCACUAUCACAACAGAAAGGCUAAUUCACUAUCACAACAGGAAGGCUAAUUCACUAACACAACGGAAAGGCUAAUUCACUACCACAAUGGGAAGGCUAAUUCACUAACACAACGGAAAGGCUAAUUCACUACCACAACGGGAAGGCUAAUUCACUACCACAACAGGAAGGCUAAUUCACUAACACAACAGGAAGGCUAAUUCACUAUCACAACAGGAAGGCUAAUUCACUACCACAACAGGAAGGCUAAUUCACUAUCACAACAGGAAGGCUAAUUCACUAUCACAACAGGAAGGCUAAUUCACUACCACAACGGGAAGGCUAAUUCACUACCACAACGGGAAGGCUAAUUCACUAACACAACGGGAAGGCUAAUUCACUACCACAACUGGAAGGCUAAUUCACUAACACAACGGGAAGGCUAAUUCACUAUCACAACGGGAAGGCUAAUUCACUACCACAACGGGAAGGCUAAUUCACUACCACAACAGGAAGGCUAAUUCACUAACACAACAGGAAGGCUAAUUCACUAUCACAACAGGAAGGCUAAUUCACUACCAC